rnacentral:sRNA from 1 species
GAGACGCUUAAUCUUGAAAAAGAGCCGGGGAACCAAUUAUGGGGUGUAUUUAAGCUAUUAGAGCUUAAAAGGAAAUCUCUAUUCCUAAUCCGUCAGCUAACCUGGUAGGCGUUAGAGA